GCAGAAUGACAGCCUCUCUACCUGUUUACUGACUCUGUGGGCACAACUAAAAACUCAUUAGGACGGGAAGUCUAAGGACCUGGAGUUCACCACCUUCUCAUCUCUGUUCCUGUUGGACACAGAGAGGGCUGAGGCCCCGGAGAUGGGUUUGAAGGAAGCCAGCUUUGUGGUGAGGCUGGAUGGAGGUGCCCUGGGAGGCCCCUGGUCGUGUGGGAGGCCCCCAGAGUGCGCGCUUGGCUUCUUACUAUUAAAACACAGGCUUGUAGAGCACAUGCUUGGGAUGCCCAAACGUCGGAGGAACAGAUAAACAUUUAGAUGGUGGAUAGAUAAGGUCUCGAAAAUUCGAAUUCCUUGAGUCUAGGGGGGCUCUGUGUUUGGCUCUCUGACAUUUGUUUAUUUGUGCGCCAGAGGUUUUUACAAGUGAAUCCCAGGAGGGAAGAAUAGCAGGUGAUCCCAGCGGCACUAGCUGUGGACUGUGGCCAUUCUGGGGGCCAAGCCAAUCUUUGAGCUGCAAUUGCUCUGUGACAAUUCCUCUGCAAAUUUUGAAACAAGUGGUAGAAGCAGCCAAGUAAAGUUUUCCUUCUCUCUUUUUUCCCCCCAAAGCGUUAGAAUGAGCCACCUUUGGAGCUCGUUUUGAACGCGCUUUCUCAUGCUAUCUUACGGACGGCGAGUAAAAGAAAUUAUCAUUUGCACUGGAUCUUUGAAUGUGGGUGAGAGCAAAAGCCAAGCCCGGGCUUAUUUUAAUUGAGCAAGACAGAGAAGGAGAUUUAGAAAAUUCAGGUCAUAAAGGGCCCACGGGGUCAUUUGUUGUAAGGUCCCUUCCACUGUCCUUGGGGAAUCUGAGACCCCCUGGUGCCGAAACCCAGGUUCAUGAAUCUGAACCAUCUGCUGCGGGUGCUGAGAGCCUGGGGGUGGAGGGGGAUGAUGUCACAUGGGUGCAGGCUGCAGUGUCGCUGGCGGAGAUUUUAGAGGAGCAGAGCAGGGAAGCAGUCAGAAGUGCCUUGCAAGGUGUCACCGUCAUAAUCAGGGAGGUGGGGACAGAUUCCUCCCAGGCUGCUUCCGGACAAGUCUCUCGGUCUUCUUCCUGAGUUAGAAGUAGGAAAAAUGUGCUAUUUUCUAAGGUGCCUAAGGUGGGUGCUCAGCUUAGCAGACCUGCUCUGGUUUUAUCAUUACUUACCAGACCACCCAAGGACCUGCCAGAAUUAUUGGAAAAGACCCAAAAGGUCAUCCUGGGCUACUAGUUUUCCUGCUAUUAGUUUCGGAGCUUUGGGCGUAAUGGGAGGAAGCAGAAGAAGGUUGAAUCUUCAUCGUGCUUUUGCCAAAGCUGUUAUGUUUUAGAUUCUCUGUUUUAGAAUUCUCUGGAAGGUUUCCUUUGGGAAAAAGAAGGGGGUUCUGUCCAUUAACAAAAUGUUUGCAAAAUGACUCAUUUAAUCCCUUCUCAUUUUGCCAAUGAGGAAACUGACACCCAGAAGGUUAAUUAGCUUAACGAGGGAUUCCACAGUUAAUGGUGCCGAUUAAGUUACAACUCUAAUCUUUUGACCACCAGGGUACUGGUGGUGAUUUGAAGGGGGACCUGGACCCAGAGAGGACUCUGCAUGUUGCAUGUGCUACCUACAAUACCUACAAUUCUCUGUUAAAGUCACCCAUAUCUGUGUGUAACAUCUAUUUAAUAACAGUGUAGUUAACGUGUGGAUUACUGGAUGAUGUUGAUAAAUUCUUUUUUUCUCUAAUUUUAUUAUCAUAUGAUAAUUCUAAAGGCCAGUUUGGCUUCUUAUGUGAAAAUGAAACCAAGAUCAAAUUUCUUGUUUUAAAUAAUUGAGGAUAACUAAACUUAACCAAGCGGUGAGCCUCCUGACAUUUUGCAGAAUUCCCCUCCCCUAGAAACAGAAAUAAUUAUGUUUGUUGACUUUUAAAGUUUAUAGGAAUGUUUACUUUCUUCCAUUUCCCCUUCUAUCUUUCAGCUUGAAAAGCUCAGCUGUAUUUGAUCAACUUUAUUCAACUUUUAAAUAUUGUCUGUCAGCAGGGUGUGGUAACAAUGCAGUGUUUAUCUUCUGUAAGAGAAUACAAUGUAAUCUCUAUCCAGAGGAGAAUCAUAGCUAAAGGUAUUGGCAGAUAAAUAUAUAGCUAUUGUAGGGAAAAUGGAGAUGUGGAGCUAAGUGCUAUUUUCCAGUUUCUGUAGAGUCAGUUCUCACCAGUUUGUGGAAAGCAUCUUCAAGACUUGAACUAGAGACUGUCUUCCUAACAUCAUCUUAGGUGUUACAGUUGCAUUCAGGAGCAAAUCCAGCUCCUGCCUUAGGAUCUGGAGGCUAGAGUUGUACGAAGGAUGUUCUGGAAACCAAGAGGAAGAGCAAAUAAACGAGACUUGGCAAGUGGGGGCACAGAAAGGCUUCUAAUGCAAUACUUGCUUUAAGAGAAAUUGGGGGGGAGGUGCUGAGCAGAAGUAAAGCAAAGGAGAAAAAGCACCACCUAAGGAGCCUGAAGCCACAUUGGAAACACAAGUCUUUGCCAUGUCUCCAAAGAUGAAAGCCUACUUGCAUAUGUGAAGAAGGAAGAAAGACGAACAGGCAGUGGAUGGAUUGCAGCGAGCUCUGUGAGCCAAGAUGAGAGUUUAAAUUAGGUUUCAAAAUCUAGGGCAAACCAGUGAAGAAGUUUAAGCAUAGAGGUGGAAACUGAAGGCAAAUUAAAGUUAAAGAUUCUGAAGCAAAGACAAAGCCCUGUGGUUGUCAUGAAAUUGGGUAACUAAGUUGGCUUUAGAGAGAAAAAUGUUUGCAGUGGAAGAGAGAUCAAGGGUGUUAACCCCAGAGAGAAGAUCAAUCAUCUAUCAUCAGGCAUGGAUGUCAUACACAGCGUUUUCGGGAAUAGAGGUAGAAAAGAAAAACUGGCCACUAGAAGUUCAAACUCCCAAUGGCUAACAGAGGGAGGCAGGGGUGUGACGAAGAGCUUGAUGAAGCAAAGCUGUUUUUAUUUCCAGAUCGGAGAGGUGUGAUUUGGAGGAGAAAUGGGAAGGUAGCAGGGAGACUCUCUUUCUGGUAACUUCUGUGUACACGGAGGUGGGGUGGGAGGCCCUGGUGUCUCCUCUUGAGAGAGAGGGGAGUUAUGUAAAAGUUUAAGGGAAGAGAGUCUACAGAUUAUCCAUGCGAUGAUUCUCAAAGUAUCAGGUGAUUAGUUGCUCAGUAAAUGGUUACUAAAUGUUGAGUAAAGAGCUAGACUGUUCCCAGGAGAUGUGGAUUCUGAGGACUCCACAUCUUUGGCACUUUUCCUGGGCUAAUGAGAUAUUCACGGGGUUCCUUUACAUGUCAAUAUCUCCAAUCCUAGCAGUGAAUGUUUAGUUUCAUCAGUUUGCCUUCAAGCAAAGUGCAGCUGCAUUUCAUGAUUUCAUGGGCAUUCCCCCAUUUACCAAUAUUGACUGAGUGCUAUUGUGUGCUACGUGCUGAAGGUAUAAAAGGGAACAAAUUAGAACCUUUUCCCUUUGAUGGAAACCUCCUAUGUUCAAGUAGGUGUGGAGUGUUAGUAAGAUAUUUUUUUUUAAUACUUAACUUACAUUUCUCCUUUAAAAACCAGUAAAACAACAACAACAACAACAACAACAACAAACAAGCCACUCUUUAGAGCAACAUUACAGUACAUUAUCUUAAAAGAUGAAUGUGUAGUGCAAAGUACAAAUAAACAGAUAUCCAUGUGUGAUCGUUCAUCAUUAGCCACUGUCAACCACUGCUUAAUCUGACCGGGGCUUACUUCCUGUUCUUGAGUCCUAGACUGUGUUAGAUGUUUUAGAACCCUAGUCAUUGAUCCCUAAGCACGAUGGCACUCAUUGUCUCUGAAUUACUUUGUUUAGUUGUUGCAUUUUCUUCUCAUAUAUUUCUUAGAUAUUUAAUACAAAUAACAAUUUGUCUUUACCCAUCUUCCCGUGUUUUCUUUUUGGUCUCAUGUUUCCUUACAAAUGGUCUUUAGUCACUAUUUAGGCUAAUCUCUGUCGGUAUUGAAUACCCCUAUGACCCCGGCGGAGGUGUAGAUUUUUUCCCUUUUUUACAAGGAAGAGAAUUUAACUCAUUCCAAGAAGAAAUUGAGCUCAUUAGCUAUUUACCUUUUUGACAAUUGGCAUUAAUUUCCUUCACAGCCACAAACAGUCUGAGUUGGAAUGAGAAAAAGUUCAGGUUACACCCUAAAUUACUUUGGUUAAGGGUUAUUCAUUUCUUCUAACGCAUUUUAGAAGUAACAAUGAAAAAUUUUGACAAGUUUUAAAAAUAAAGCUAAAAACGGCUUUAAUUGCAGGUCUAGUAAAACUCUAGUGCCUGUUACAAAUUCUGCGAAGACCUGUAAGACUAAAAUUAUGAUUAUUGCAUUUGUAGUUUUAUUAAUUUAAAGUACAUGGACAAAGACUAAGGAACAUUUAAGGGUAUUUUUUUGUUAGCAAAUUAAUUUUUAAAAUAAUCUUAAACUACCUCAUUCUUUCUGCAUGAUCAAAAGUAGAAAGCUCCCUUUGAUCAUAUCUGUUUUGUUCCACUGAGCUGAAAAAGGGCAGAAGGAUCCCAAUUAUUUUAUGUGACCGUAUGUAUACACGUAUAGAUCAUAAAUUAACAUAAUUACAUAAAUAAACACAAUUGCAUUGCAUUUAUGACAAGAUAUAUCCUUGAGGGGCACUGUUACUUGAACAUCAAGCAAUUGAAUCCUUUUCCCCCCCGUUCCUUGAAAAGUUCUUGAGGACUGUAAAAUGAUUACCCUUGCCGUGAAGGUAAUCAUGUGACAGUGUGAUGUGUUCUGGCCAAUGAGAUAGUAGAAUCCCACUUGGGAGCCACUAGGAAAGCUUUUGCUUUGCCCACGAAAAAGUCAAGUGCAGGAGGAGAGCUUCCUCCUUCUGUCCCUUCUAUCUUCCUGUCCUGAAGGUGGUUAUGUGGGAAAAUUACAGUUGGACCCGUGGCAGCCAUGUUUAUUAGGAUCAUGAGACAAAAUCCCCAAAGGCAAAAGGCCAUCAUAUUUAGGAUUGUGGAAGCUAGAGAAAGGAUCAGAAAAACAGAAGGAAGGAUCUGAAAAAGAAAUGAACCUAGGUCUCUGAGGAGCACUUUGUUACCUUUGUUGCCAAAUUUGAAACUACUUAUUCUGGUUUCAUCAUCUAUGAGGUAAUUGCUUAAACCUCCACUGGUGGCUGAAUUCUAACUGAUACAUUUUAACAUUUUUCUGACUCAUUCCCGGUAUCACAUUUUAUUAGUAAGUAAUAGCAGAUAUCCAACCCCCCAUUUUUAGAUUCUAAGCCCAGGGUUUUCCUGGCCCGGCUGUCUUUCCACAUGGUUAUAAUUUGGGAAAGAAAUACAUAUACUGUGAAGUAAUAACAUACGUUACCCAUUAUGCAGAUGUGCCCUCCUCUUAGUUAAAGCCCUAUUUCUCUCAGAACCCUCUGGACUGCUCUGUUUAGCAUUUGUCUAACAUGUUCUGGGAAUGAAUUUCUCUCUAUUACUCUCUGUUUCCCUUAUCAUUGAAUGUUUUUUUGCUUCAUUAUAACUUCAGGCAAGUUACUGAUUGUGAAAUUAGUUUUCCUGAUCUUUAUAAGAGGAUAAUUUACAUUAACCUUUUGCAUAUUUCACAGUCUUGUUGAGUGGAAAGGGCUUGGGGAUGUGAGGCUCAAUUUAUUACCAACAUUCUAAUUUUUGCUUACUAGUGGUGGCUACAUAGGUGUUUAAAUCUUUGUGUGCAUUGUAAGCAUUUAAUAAUGACUACUAAAGAGAAAGCAGACCAGUUUGUAAAGUUUGUAAAAUGACACAGUUGAUGACAAUUUGGCAUGUACGCAUUCAUGUGGGAGAGAAGAUGGAUAUUAAAGAAGUUUAUUAUUACCUGUCAAUGUUGUCUGUGUCCCAUCAGGAGAGGUUGGUAACUUACUUUGGUUCCUUAACAGCAGCAACAAAAAAACCCCAUUUUAAUAUAAAAGCAAAGUACACAUGAAAAGCCAUAAUUGAACCCUGGCUUAUUUUUUGGUGUGUACAUGAUAUAUAUGGAGAUUACACACUGAAUAAAGGCCCAUCACGACACACUACAUUUUCACCUGCCUUUGUAAAGUAGCAGGUGUGCUUGACAGUUUUAUUCUAUUUUUAGUGGUGAAAGCCUGAUCCAUCAUUUUCUUUUGCUGAUUUAUCUCUUUUUAGAACAUUUUAAAAGACCUAUCGGUGGGUAUUUGGUAUGCAUAUACCUGAAAUCUAAUCAUAGCAUUAUGUAUGUACUCAGAGAAUCCACAGAGAUUCUCCAGUCAGAGCAUGUCACUAACUCUGGCAACUAUGAUUAGUCUCCUAAGACUGUGGCCUUAAGUGAGAAAGCCUUUCCAAAACACCAUACGAUGGGGCUAUACAGGAGCAGAGGUUAGCGUUGACACUCAGUAAGUGAAAAAUGACUCCUGAGCUAGUGAGACUCGAUGCUCCGAGUUAAUUAAAUGUAUCAAUAUAUUUAAAGAAAAUGUGUCCAAUGGGUGGAUUGAUAAGCCACAAAAGCAGAAAAAGGAGAAAUCCAGAGAUCUUUUGUGCCUUUCAACCAAGACUUGUCUGGGAGAGACGAUGUUCUGAACCGCUCUAUUUCCAAAGGCAGGAGUCUUACUGUUACCGUUUUCAUUAUGAAUCUCUGACACAUAGGGGUUGUUUCAGUGUUAGAUACUGCACACCUUCAUGUCAUUUAAUCCUCAUAAAAACUCAAGGAUGUAGGAACCACCAUUAUCCUUAUUUUAUAGAUGAGGAUAUUAAGGUUGAGGGAGGUCAAGUUAUUUAGAUUCAUACAGCUGGUGAGUGGCAGUGUUAGGAUCUGAACUUAGUCUAGAGAACCUGUAUAUGUGGCUACAAUUUGGUGAAUUUUUAAUGACAGAAGGGAACUCUCUCCUCAGUUUUACAGAGAGCAAUUUUGGGAUUAGAAGUCUGUAACUUGUCCGACAGUAUGUGUGAGAAUUAAGGCAAUAAUUCAAGGGCUCUCGAAUCUUGCUUUGAUGUACUUCCAGCAUAGUCGGAUGCUUCUCGGUGAGGAAAUCAUUAGGGAACCGGCCAGUGGAGACGAGACUGCUUUCCACACUGGGGCAGCCCGGGAAGACUGUACUCCUCGGAAGGAAGUGGAUACGCAUAGAGCCCAUGCACACAUACCUAUGUUUCAGUGUCAAAGAAGCAGGUCUGUUCUGAUGCAAUGCCAACUGAACACAUGAUCCGAUUGUUCCAGUGACCCCGUGCCAAAAGAAGCAAGAACAGGCUUUCCAGUGUUCAUUAUGGGGUAGAGAACAUGUUUAGUGUUAGAGUGCCUUAGAAACAAGCUGCUAUUCAAAGCUUUCUAGGCAAUUUGAAGCAGGUUGCUGAGCUUUGAAAAAAUCCUGCAGCCAAGUUUAGAAGAUCAAAGUACUUGGAAAACAUAUAUACUCUGGGCUAUUUAAAAAAUGCAGCACUCAAGUCAAUAUGAGCUAUACUCUGAGCAAUGCAGACAGGAACAAUAUGAGGGUAGACUUUAAUUCCAAAAGGAGGGGAAAGGAAGGGACAGUGUCACAGGCGUUUGUGAGACAGGACAAAGAGAAGUCCAGUUUGUCUCAAUACAAUACACGUAGCUAUAGGGAAUUCUAUGAGGUCAGGUCAUUUCUUAUAAUUUAAGUGAGACUCAGAAUGAUCUACUGGAUAUCAAAGCCCUAUAUGGGCCUUUGCUAGAAUUGUGCCAAAAUAAAUCCAGUUCUGGAAUUCCUCUGGGUAGUCUAUCUGGACCAUCAGACCACACCACCUCGACACCUGGUGUCUGAGUGAAGGAUCUGGAAGAAAGAAUCAGGACUCUGCUUCCAGAAUAUACUAGCUAAGAGGUAUGAGAGGAAGCCUGUUUAAAUGAAAUUGGACCUCAUAUAUAAACUGACUCAGCUAUUUCUAAAGCCCCCAUUUAUCCCAAAAUACAAUAAUUGUGUGAAAGAAAUAUGAUACUCUUAUUUCACAACAAGAGUCAUUUUCGUGGCCGCAAAAUGAAAAAGCACUACCCAUAUGCCUGCACCAUAGACUGUCCGUGCUAUUUCCUCCUCAGGAUGCAGAAUUGCUCCCUUUCAUGUGGGGGAACAUUGUUCCAGUGCUAAGCAAAUAACAAGGUAGGUGAUGCAUGAGUGUGGUGCCAUGAACCGUGGUGCUCACAAACCCUCAAGAAAAUGUGCUGUGGGAAGGAUCAGGGAGGCAGUUCGUCCCUGCAGGAGGUAGGUGUCUCUUAAUGGGUAAGCUCUGCCCCAGGGACUCACUGUCAGCUUGAACAAGGUGUUCUCAGAGCUUACACUAGCCUGGGGUUCCUCCUACCAAAUCCCAAAUCCUGCAUCUUUCUCCGGUAUGAGAACUGCAGCUCAGGCUGAGGACCUUCCAAAACACCCUGCUCCCUCUCCACUUCUCUUUAUCCUUCAAAGGUGUCUCCCCUUCCCCCACCGCCACCCCCAAGUCUCCCCAGUGUCUAAUACCGUUCUUGUGUCUGCUUCUUGGAGAUCAUGACAUAGGCACAUGAAAGAAAGGACUUCUUAGUCCAUAAGAACACAGAGAGAGGAAAGGAAUGGCCCAUGUAUUUCUGACACUGGUCACCAGGUGCCCCCUUGGACCAAGAGCCUGAUGGAACCUUCUAGAAUAAAGUAAAAGGUGACACAGACUGGCCUCCCUUCAUGCACAGUGCCCAGGAGGGACAGAUGAGCCACCUGAUGUGGACUGGGAGUGAAGGAUCUUGGCUUCAUCUUGGAACACUAGCUGACUUGAGGAACUGAAGACUGGUAGAAGAAAUCUUCCUUCCUUGCCUUUCCACCAGUUCACUUUUCUUUUAAUGAAGAAAGAGCUGGUGACCUAGGUGGGUGAGAGUCAGCUUCCACAGAGGCAAAUAUUCAUGAGUGACUUGUCCUCAGGAAGGGGAAAUAGUUUCCUAAUUCAGGAAGGAACACCUAGAUAGCAGUUCAGAGCUCUGGCUGUGGUAGAGACGUGCUGUGUCACUCUGAGCAAGGCAGCAAACGUCUCUCACCCUCAGGUCCUUUGUGGUCAGAUGGACUAAUCUGUGAUUCAGUGUGAGGUCUGCCUUUGCCAUUUCCAGAGUUUUGUAUUGUCUAAAUGAAAAGUGGAUGCACAGCAUAUGACAAUACCAAAGCGUAUCUGAAAUCAGGGUCGCCUUCAUGAAUCUGGCUGGCCAUUUUUUGCAACAAAAGAAAACUAUUUUUAUUUUAUUUUUCCUCUGAAAAUCCUUGCUUAGGUUGAAGACUUGAUAGAGCACCUUUUGUAUACACAGAAGCUCAUUAUUCUUUGCUUAAUUCAGAGUUUGAUUAUCAGGCAUGUUUAUCUUAAAAAAGAAAAUCAAACUUCAUACUUAUAGGUAAAGUUAGAUUACCUAUAAAAGAAAUAAGUUAUCAUAAAAUGCCUCAUAAUUUUCCAAGGAUUAUGAUAAUUAUAUUUUUUGUUUUUUUAGUUCCUCCAAACAUUAGCUACCAAACAGUAUAUUAGAUUAAUUUUUUAAUUAAAAAGUUACUUAGAGAGAAAAUAAUAUGUCAAUAUUUCAUAUUUCCUUUCUUCUUGAACUCUAAAUAAUAAAUUUUAUUAGUAGAAAAGUAGGAUAUAAGAAGGACAAGCAAGGAAGGGCAACUCCUUGGGAGUCCAUAGUAAAUAUGGCAGGCUUAUUAUUCAAGUUAAAUGAGUAUGAUUAUCUGAAAGCUCUUUGCAGUUAUCAUAAAAUCCUUUUUCUCUGUAUGCAUUGCUGCUGGGAUUGAAAGGAAGGUUACAAUUUUCUGCCCUUAAGUUCUUUGCCAACCAUCAAUAGCUGAUGAAAAGGAGAAGGAGGAGGAGGAGAAAGAAGAAGAAGAAGAAGAAAAAUAAGAAGAAGGAGGAGAAGGAGAAGGAGAAGGAGAAGGAGAAAUGAAGAAAGAAAACAGAAUCACAUAGGAGGCUUGGUUUUCCUAUUACCCCAUUACCUGUCCACCAAUUGCACUAAGGCCAGAUCCAUGGACAGCCAGCUGUAGCCACACAGGACCAGGGUCCCCAGGCCACCCUCAUGCAAAGCAGUUAAAUUGGAGGGCCCCGAAGCCAGCUUCUGCCCACGAACACCUCCAGGGUAGGUCUCUCUGGGCCAGCAUCUCUUGUACCAGUGAGGACCGGAAUGUUUUGUCUCAGACCAGGAAUGCUGAUAGAAUCAGACAACUCUGCAACCAGCGAGGAACCCAUUUACCACGGUUUACUUUUCACAUGUGUCCUGAAGAGCAGCCACUCUGUGAAGAGGCUGCUUCAGCAAUAGGAGAGGGGCAGAUGCUGCCAUGGAUGCCUUCCUACCCUCAAAGGAAGUGAUGUCCUUUACCCAAAUGGCUUGGGAAAUUUGAACAUCCUUUCUGCAGGAAUACACCUUUAUGUGAGUAGAGAAGACCACCUUUGCGAACACAUACCAACAACAGAUACCUUUUUCUUCACAGCUCAAGACAAUUUAUUAUUCCCAUUUUCCAGGUUAACUGAACACAGAACCAUCUUAACUGCUUAUUCUACUAGUUCUCAAAGUGUGGUCCCUGAACCAGAAGCACCAGCAUCACCUGCGAGCUUAUUAGAAAUGCAGAUUCUACAGCUGGAGCAGGACUUACAGAAUGGGACACUGGAGGCGAGGCCCAGAAAUCCGUAUUUUAGCAAGCCCUCAUGUAAAUUUGCUGCAUGCUCAAGUCUGAGGACUGGUAUUUUAUGCCUUUUGUUCAUGUUUUUAAAUUAAUACUGAUAUUUUCAAAUUCAUGUUGUCAAAAUUUUCCAGUUAAUACCUGCAAACUAUUCCUUCCUUCAAGUGGCCCUUGGGGCCCUAUGUUAUAUUUACUAAGUCAUGGGCUUUAAACUUCAAAAGGGUAGGUCUCUUUGGUCCUGGAGCCUAUAUCUCUGGUUUCGAGUCAUAUAUACAUGCCCUAAUUCUUUUCUUUAUUCACAGAAGUCUAGAUUCUGUCCAGAUUGAUCACUUGAUGGAACUUUACAUUUCUUUGGUUCAUAAGAUCUAUAAAUAUAUUUUCCUUCAGUUUCUUAAGACCAUUGAACUUGAUGGAAUC